AGAGAGAGAGAAAUAAAUGUAGCAGAACGUGAUGAUGAAAUCUCAAGAAAAUUCCUUUUACGUAGUCAGGUCCUGACCCCA
rnacentral:snoRNA from 14 species